GGAAGCAGCACCAGACUCAGAAGAAGGAAAAGAAGGGCGCUGGUAUAUCCCCCACCAUGGGGUGUAUCACCCGACCAAAACAAGCUUAGAGUAGUUUUUGAUUGCAGCGCGUCAUACAAUGGAGUGAGUCUAAAUGACGUACUCAUGCAAGGCCCGAACCUGACGAACUCCCUGGUGGACGUAUUGGUCCGCUUUCGACAAGAGACGGUAGCCUUUACCGGUGACAUCGAGUCCAUGUUUCUUCAGGUGAUGGUACCGGAGAGCGACAGGAACUAUCUGAGCUUCCUGUGGUGGCCAGAAGGCGACACUUCUUCAACACCACGUGUCUUCAGGAUGACAAGACAUCUGUUCGGAGCGACAUCCAGUCCCAGUUGCGCGAACUACGCUCUUCAUCGGACGGCAGAAGACUUUGGCACAGGAUACACCCCCGAAGUGAAGAAGACACUGCAAAGAAGUUUCUAUGUGGAUGACGUAUGCCAAUCGACGACGUCAGAAGCCUCCGCUGCGAAGAUGGCGCAGGACCUGAAGCAGCUGUGCAGCAUGGGUGGCUUCCGACUCACGAAGUUCAACUCCAACAGCACCGAAGUUCUGACAGCGCUAUCAGAAGAUGACAAGGGAAAGACUGAAACUCACCUUGGACAGGAAACCUCUUCAAGCGAGAGAGUCUUAGGUGUACUCUGGGAUACUCACAGGGAUGAGCUUGGAUUCAGCAUCGACGUAGACGCUCUCAACAGAAGACCACGUACUCGACGCGGAAUACUCUCCGCGACCGCAGCCUGUUACGACCCGUUAGGCCUGGCUGCUCCUCGCGUUCUUCAAGGACGGAUGAUUCUUCAGGAACUGACGCGUCUACGAACCGGCUGGGACGAUGACAUUCCCAAUGAAGUUGAAGAAGAAUGGAACAGAUGGCUGAAUGGGUUGAAGUCCCUGCCAGACGUUCGCGUGCCAAGAUGUUAUGAUCCGUAUGGCAUAAGUGCCGCGGAUGCAGUGAGUCUGCACCACUUCAGUGACGCCAGUCUGAAGGGCUAUGGCACCGCGUCAUACAUACGCACUGUGCGCGGAGAUGGUGAAGUGUUCUGUUCCCUGGUUCUUAGCCGAGGCCGAGUCGCUCCGCUCAAGGCGAUUACGGUCCCGCGUCUUGAACUAGCCGCAGCCAAGCUUGCCGUAGACGUGAACCAAGAGCUCUUGCGAGCACUGGACAUGAAGAUCCAUGACGUCACCUUUUGGACGGAUAGCACGACCGUGUUGCGUUACAUCGAGAACGAGACCUCGCGCUAUCACAUCUUUGUGGCGAAUCGACUUGCUGCGAUACACGCUGGGUCGAAGAACGAACAGUGGCGGUACGUACCCUCGUCGCUGAAUCCUGCUGACAUGGUUUCAAGAGGAGUACUGCAAGACAGCGACAUGUGGUACAAUGGCCCGCCAUUUCUCAGGAGCUCACAGGAGAAUUGGCCAAGGUCUCCGUGCGUCGGUGAGACUCACCCGGAUGACCCGGAAGUGAAGCAAGCGAAGACAAGUUCGGCAGCUGUCGUUGUGCAGAACGAGAAGGCUGACAACUCCAGCGCCAAUCCCAUCGAUCGUCUGAUUGAAUAUCAUUCGUCAUGGAAGAGACUCACGAGAGCGGUGGCAUGGAUCCGCCGAACGAUCAAGACUCUGCAGCUGAAGGCCAGAGACAAGCAGGGAGCCUCGAAUGCGAGGGAGCUCACUCCUGCUGACAUAGAAGAUGCCGAGAGGAUCAUCGUGAAGCAUGUUCAGAAAACUCAUUUUCUGCAAGAACUGAUUGACCUGGGAGUGGGACGCGAGGUGCGAUGUGCCAGUCGUCUGUCGCGGCUGAGCCCAUUCGUGGAGGACGGUCUCAUCAGGAUGCGCGGACGCUUGAUGAACUCUGCGUUGGACUGGGCUGCCAAGCAUCCUCUGAUUCUCCCAGACAAGGACAAGGUAACCGACCUGAUCAUCGCAGAUCGUCACGAGAGGGCAGGACACGAAGGACGUCAGUAUGUUCUUUCUGAACUCAGGACUCGAUACUGGGUACUGAAAGGGAACAGCGCAGUACGACGGUGUUUGCACAGAUGUGUGAAGUGCAGAAGACGACAGCGCCCAGUUGAGGGACAGAAGAUGGCAGACUUGCCACAGGAUCGUGUAGAGGAGGCCACUCACCCGUUCAGUAGCACUGGUGUAGAUUACUUCGGGCCGCUAUACGCCAAGAGAGGUAGAGGUCAGGUGAAGAAGUUUGGAGUCAUUUUCACAUGCCUCAGCACGAGAGCCGUGCAUCUCGAGCUCGCAGACAACCUUUCUGCGGACUCAUUCAUUUGUGCCUUGCGCCGCUUCAUUGCAAGACGCGGGAACGUUCGCCUGAUGCGUUCCGACAGGGGAACGAACUUCACAGCAGCAGACAAGGAGCUGAAGGAAGAAGUUGAUGCAUUGCACGCGAACGAAGAGAAGUUGAAGAGAGCGAUGCUGAACAAGGGCAUCGAGUGGAUGUUCAACGUUCCUGCCGCUUCCCACCACGGCGGUGUGUGGGAGCGUCUCAUCAGAGGCGUCCGGAAGAUCCUGAAUGGUCUGUUAACCAGCCAAACAUUCACAGAAGAGACGUUGCACACACUCUUGUGCGAAACCGAGUGCAUCAUGAACAAUCGGCCGCUGGUGCCGGUUUCGUCGGACCCUCGUGACGAGGUGCCUCUGACUCCGAAUCACAUCCUGCAUUUGAAGUGUGUGACACCGGUAUGUGAUUCUUCAAGUGAAGAUGACCUGGAUGGACCCAAGAGAUGGCGACAAGCUGCUUACCUAGCUGAGCAGUUUUGGCGUUCGUGGAGACGGCUAUACUUGCCUCUCCUGCAGCAGCGAUCUCGCGCUGCCACGAGAAGUCGGACGAACCUGCGGAUCGGUGACGUCGUCGUCAUGGUAGACUUCGUAAUUCGUAAUUCGUAAUUCGUAAUUUCGUAAUUCGUUUAUUAAACGAGACGAAUCGGUACCACGCGGUGUGUGGCCGCUGGGUCUCGUGAAGGAGACCCUGAUGGGUAAGGACGGGCGUGUGCGCUCUGUGAAGGUCCGCGCUCGAGGAACCAUGUUCCUGAGACCUGUCACGAAGGUAGUGAAGGUUCUGGGCGCAGAAGAGCAGUCUUGGUGAAGCGAUGGAGCUGCAGCUAGUAGCUACACUGUAUAACACAGCAUGAGUCUAGCAGCACACCGCUAAGUCAUUGACACCGGACACUUUAGAUCAUGACACGCCACACAGGCUCAUGACACAAUCAGAAUGAUAGACAUCAGGAACGGUGCAUGUAUAUAGGAUGCGUUCUACUUGCGUGUGUUGAUGCUGAUCUCAGCGACGCUUGUUUCGGUAGGCUGUGCAGUGUGCCUAUGUGUUGUUAUAUGUAUAGUUAAGAAGUUGGUUUUGAACCUGGAUGGUUCAAAGGGGGCGGGUGUUAGCGCCGCACGGCCCCCAGCGGCGGUGUCGUUGCGACGCCGCUCAGCGGCGGUGCCCUCCGCCUAUGGUAACUACGCUAUGUUGCUAUGGUUACCGGAUUGUUUGUUUUGUUUACUUUCUUUCGGCUCGAUUUUGACAAGGUCUGGCUAGAAUAUGAAUAAUUACGAAAGAUAAAGACGAAAGAUGUGAUUGAUGACUGGCAAAAAUGUUGUUUGAGUGAAAAGGAAGAAUUUUGGCUAUUGAUUUAAGCAUGAACACUGUUCGUUACGCCGGAGAGUGACAAUUUGUCGUUACGGCUCGGCUCAGGCUCAAGGCUCCUGGCUCCUGUUGUACGAGGCUCUGUCUGGCCCUGGCGGUACGCGGCUGACUCAGGCUCAGGCCGUUAGCGCUGGAAGAAGGAGGAGGAAUGGAGGAGAAAAUAUAGAGGACUGAGAGCCCGUGAA